GCAUAUCAAUAAGCGGAGGAAAAGAAACCAACAGGGAUUGCCCCAGUAACGGCGAGUGAAGCGGCAACAGCUCAAAUUUGAAAUCUGGCCCUAGGCCCGAGUUGUAAUUUGUAGAGGAUGUUUCUGACGAGGUACCUUCCGAGUUCCCUGGAACGGGACGCCAUAGAGGGUGAGAGCCCCGUACGGUUGGUCGCCAAGUCUCUGUGAAACUCCUUCGACGAGUCGAGUAGUUUGGGAAUGCUGCUCUAAAUGGGAGGUAUACGUCUUCUAAAGCUAAAUAUAGGCCAGAGACCGAUAGCGCACAAGUAGAGUGAUCGAAAGAUGAAAAGCACUUUGAAAAGAGGGUUAAAUAGUACGUGAAAUUGUUGAAAGGGAAGCGCAUAUGACCAGACUUGGCCAGGUUAAUCAUCCAUCGUUCUCGGUGGUGCACUUUGCCUGGCCAGGCCAGCAUCAGUUCGCUUUGGGGGAUAAAGACUUUGGGAAUGUGGCUCCCUCGGGAGUGUUAUAGCCCAUUGUGUAAUACCCUGGAGUGGACUGAGGUUCGCGCAUCUGCAAGGAUGCUGGCGUAAUGGUCAUCUGCGACCCGUCUUGAAACACGGACCAAGGAGUCGUCUUCGUAUGCGAGUGUUCGGGUGUCAAACCCCUACGCGUAAUGAAAGUGAACGUAGGAGAGAGCUUCGGCGCAUCUCCGACCGAUCCUGAUGUUCUCGGAUGGAUUUGAGUAAGAGCAUACGGGGCCGGACCCGAAAGAAGGUGAACUAUGCCUGUAUAGGGUGAAGCCAGAGGAAACUCUGGUGGAGGCUCGCAGCGGUUCUGACGUGCAAAUCGAUCGUCAAAUAUGGGCAUGGGGGGCGAAAGACUAAUCGAACCUUCUAGUAGCUGGGUUUCCGCCGAA
rnacentral:rRNA from 1 species